rnacentral:rRNA from 1 species
UGGGGAAUAUUGCGCAAUGGGCGAAAGCCUGACGCAGCGACGCCGCGUGCGGGAUGAAGGUCUUCGGAUUGUAAACCGCUGUCGGGAGGGACGAAGCUCUGACGGUACCUCCAAAGGAAGCACCGGCUAACUCUGUGCCAGCAGCCGCGGUAAUACAGAGGGUGCGAGCGUUGUCCGGAAUCACUGGGCGUAAAGGGCGCGUAGGCGGCUGGGUAAGUAAGGGGUGAAAUCUCACGGCUCAACCGUGGGGCUGCCUCUUCGACUGCCCGGCUCGAGCAUGACAGAGGUCGGUGGAAUUCCCGGUGUAGCGGUGGAAUGCGUAGAGAUCGGGAAGAAUAUCGGUGGCGAAGGCGGCCGACUGGGUCAUUGCUGACGCUGAGGCGCGACAGCGUGGGGAGCAAACAGG